AAUUGGAAAAUGUGACAUAUUUUAAACACAGUUAUUAAAGUUGCAUCAUAUUAAGCAAACGUUUUUAAAUUGUAUAUUAUAAACAAAAAAUUAUUUAAGGAUUAUUAUUUAUAUAAAUAUAUAAAAACUAAAUGUGUUAUAGUAAAAAAAUAUAAAAGUUUGUAUUGUAAGAAUAAUAACUACACUUGUCAGUUAUGUGUAAUAACUGCAUGUGACAACGUGCUUUUAAAAGUUAGAUAUUAUAUUAUAAUUAAAAACCGUUUAUUCUUCUUUUGAUUUAUGUUUAUUAUUAGGUGCAGAUGUUUAUACAAUAUAAACAGUGGCGUUAACAUUAAAUAGAUGGUAUAAAAUUCGAGUACAGGGCAGUGGGUAGAUUAUUUUUUAAUUUCAUGAUAAAUGUACGACGAGAUACGUUAGGGAUAAUAUUGGAUAAAUGUUGUGUGAUUUUUAUUAUUUAUGCACCGUUGACAAAGUUAUGCAACUAUAUGUGGUAAUAAAUGGGAUAAACAAAACAAAAGUAAAAAAUCUUAUUUCUUAAGCAUUAUAUAUAAAAUAGCUAUGUUACAAGUGAUGUGUCCUGAGAAAUUUUUAAAAGAAACGAACUAAUAUUCCUUAUCACUUUCAUAUAAAUUUUAAAAUAAACCAUUUGUUUUCUACCACCAUAGCUUUAAAACUUUUUAAAAUAUGUAAAUAUUGAUUAUGCCAAGAAAGGUAAAAACAUUAAAUGUUAGAUGGACUAAUAAAGGAUAUGGGCCUCUUAAAAAAAGCCAACCCUACACAAACUCAGUUUUCUUGUUUUAGGAAUAAUUUAAAUGCAGUCAAAGUUGGUCAAAUAAAGCGUGUUUCUGAUAUAAAAGUUUAUUCCUUGCAUAGAUGUGUCUCAGAUAGCAGUGUUUUCUUGAGUGUUAUUUUUCUUUUCUACAUCGACAAUUCUGUUAUAAAUUUUUUUCGGCACUCACAAGGUUUAAUUUCUAAUUACCUUACAGAAAUUAACACGUUUUUGUAGUUCAUAUUUUGACAGAUACGUCAUAUGAAAAAGCAUUUUGAAAUAUUUAAUAAAUAGGCACAAGAUAAACUACAUCUGAAAAGGGACAGAAUAAACUCAUGUUACGGCUUAAGGGUGAAAACCAAUUCUGGGAAGAGAGUCUGUUUAUAUUCCACAGAGGUGAAGGGCAGUCAAAAAGCUCAACACAGAUUGGAAAGGUCCAUUUCAUGAGGCCACCAGAAUUAGCGAGGUGAAGUUCCGGAUCUAGCGACGUUCGAUAAUGAAGAUUGUAAACAUCGUCUGGCCACCACCGUGGUCUUCUGGCCGUGGGCCACACAGGUGGACUCCUCUUUGACCCUGGAGGUCUUGAUUGAUCGGGACAAUUAUACUGGUGAGGGAAGCAGUAUUGUAAAAAUAGUUUUAUGUCAAAAACUCACCCUUUUCGUUUAUAAUGUCAGAUUAUCCCUUUCAAGUGACUCACAUUGACCAUCGUUUAAUUGCUUUCAAGAUGAACAACAAGACUGAUUAAAAUAUCACAAAACGCGAUCCCUGAUAAAGACCCAUGGAAUAAUUUAAAAAUUGAUAGAAAUUUCUACACUAUUUUUUUCUAUAGAAAUUAACAAUUUUAAGACAACACUGAUAGUCAAAGCACAUUAGUUACAAAGUUUGAAAAUUGAAACUACCAGGAAUUACAAUAAAAUAGCCUAAAAUGAAGUUAUAUAAUAAUUAGCGCAUUUACAUUUUCAUAGCCCUGCUCCCUUCUGAAGUUUGUGCAAUGGUAUUCAUCAAUCAAUCAACCUUCAAGGUGUUUACAAUUUUCAUCUUCGUUGUUAGACGUCGCUAUAUUCGGUACAUCACGUUAUUAAUUUUAAUGUCCACAUGAAAUAAACCUCCCAAUCCCUCUAGAACUUUGGUGUCUUGCCGUUCAUUCUCCGUGAAUUAUAUAACCAGACUUUGUCCCUUAGAUAAAGACCAAUAAAAUUCGCCUUUAUCACCGCGUCAUCAGUUAAAGUUUAUGCAAUGUCUAUUCAGGGACCAUUUGCAAACGCUUUUGAAGCUGGUCGACGUAAUCUUUAAGGCUUUCAUCUUUCUCGGGUCUCCCAAUAAUAAUGUCCAAAGGAACACGAAGUUUAUCACCGAAGAUGACUUUUGUCGUGCUUUUUUUCAGUAGACUCGUGGAUAGAAGAACAAUAUACCAAUAGGAAUGGUUGUAUACAGGUAUCCCAGUUCGUUUGCUUGAGGUUUACCAAAAUUCUCAAGUGGGUUUUAAGAUUGCGAUUAAAUCAUUCAAGCGUUCUAUCAGAAUGAGGCUGUAGGGUGGUUAUGCGAGCCUUAUUAAUUACCAGUCACUGACGUACUUGUUGCUUAGAGUUCCUUCUUUCGUCUCUGUCUGGGGAUAUUAAAUGAGCAUAUUCAGUUUUGGAACAGCAUCUCAAGUGCUUUAGUUGCUUCUUGGUUUAAAAUAAAAUAAUCCUUGAGCCACUUACUAAAGUAAUCCAUAGCAAAAAGAACAUAUCGAUGGCCAUUCGUUUAAAGGAUACACCAACAAUAUACUGCAUCAUUUUUCAUUUGGUGCGAAUUCUUGGACCCUUGGGUGAAGCACAUUCCUUGCAUUGUCUUGAUUUUGUUCAUUAAGACGUCGCAAUUUAAUGUCACUCUGGUAUAGAUCAGAGUAUCUUUUAUUUCGAUUUUCGAAGGUUGUCUUUUCUCGGACUCACUCACUACAAGAGGUAAUGCAAUUCUUUGUUAAAUAGGUAUAUAAGGGAUAAAAAAACUGUAGAUGCCUGUUAAAAUAUAAGUUUGCUGCCUGAAGAGAAUUUUCACUACUAUCUUAUGAAGACAAUAUUUUUUUUAAAUUGCUAGUUUCCUAUUUAUCUGUCAUUCUCUCGCGGCCUUCUUAAAAACAUAGAGAUGCAUUUGUCUACAUGUCCUACUGUUAAAAUUAGAAUGAUAGGUAAUCAUUUUACGAAAAUUGUAGUUGAGUAUUAAAAAUAUACAGACAGUUAUUAUAAAUUUAUUUUUUAUCUCAAAAUCCUUAAUUAUUAUCAAUAAACAAACAGAUUAUAUAAUCGUGUUCUACGGAAAAACCCCAUCAAAGACAUUUUUUACUUCUUCACUCAGUAGAUUAAAAACUAUGACAGCUGUCAAAUUUUUGACAAAAAAUGCGAAACUCGCUUUUUAUAUAUAGUAACAGAGAUAACGAAGCUUUAUAUAUAGUAACAGAGAUAAGCUACAUAAGUGUCCAAAGUGGAUACCCUAUUCUCUACAGGAAGAUAUGUAUUAAUAUGUAUUAAUAAAGAUUUCUUAACAAAAUAUGUAAAGACCUAUAGCUCUACUAAUCCAGAACCUAUUUCUUUCUGGUCUCUUUCAUAAAAAAUGAAUAACGUUUUUGAAAUUUUGUAAAUAUUUAUUGAUUCUACUUAAAAUGGAAAUUUGUUUAGUUUUAUAUGAAAUGUACACAGUGGCAGACGUUUAUUUAUAAUAGCUAAGAAAUGUGAUAAAGAAAAACAAUAUGGGCCCUCGCCGUAUUAUAGCCUACUGGCGUAGCAAAUGAGAGCAGCGGAAAAAAUUGAAUUUUGUCAAUAUAUCAAUCUAUUUAGAACUAUACAUAUAAUCUCAACUUCAUAUAUGAGACAGAUACACAUUCCCAUGCAUCACAAUUGGUGUACCCAAUCCAACUCCAAAAACUUGGUUUCCGACGGACUUCGACACGGCGUAUUUGCUAUUUGCUCGGUGCUUGGUUGACACAUUAAUUUUAUAUGAGCCCUAACAACUAUAUAUUGGAACAAGUAGUCUUAGUAAUUCUUUUAAUUUAUUUAAAAAUAAUAAAUUAAUAACAUUUUUUAUGUUUUAGAGAAUUAUUUUUAAGGUUUAAUAAAAUUUUGAUGUUAAAUAAUAUUUAUUUAAUUGUUUGAUAAUCAAAAAAUGUUGACAACUAAAUGUUGGAACAUGGGUUGCUUUAGCUCAAAAUUUUCCAGUUAUAUUAGCAUGACGCGAAGAUGGCUUUGAAUAAACAAAAGUAAGUAGUGCGUUGUCAACAAUAAAAAUUUUGAUGCGUCACUUGACCAUUAAUAAUCAAUUACUGUCAUUUUUAUGACGAGUAAAAUACAAUAAUGGGUCGUGGAAAACCUACUGAUCUAAAAGUGCGAGAAAUUAUUAUCCGGCAGUACCAUAAAGGGAAAACAAUGCGAGAAAUCUCCAGUGAAUAAAAUGUUGCAAUAACUACUAUAUUUAAUAUAAUUAAAAAAUAUGGUGAAACUGCCAGUAUUGGUGUUCGAGGCAAAAGUUCAGGACGUCCAAAAGUUGUUUCUCAAAGAAAUGUAAGGAACUUGAUUAAAAUUUGUAAGUCGGGAAGAAGAAAUACUCUACGAGAAGUAACUGCAAGGUGGAAUAGAGAAAGUGGGAUAAAUGUUUCCAGAGAAUGCUGCCGCAAAUAUAUCCACAAGAGCGGUCUUAGUUUUUAUAAGGCCAAAGAAAAACCAUUGAUAACGGAUACUCAAAAAAGGAAUCGUUACAUUUGGGCCAAAUCAAAACUCUCGUGGAACAAAGAAAAUUGGAGCAAAGUUAUUUAUAGCGAAAUUUGAUGUCUGUGUUGGGAAAGCCUGUGAUUCGGGACAAAACAGAAGCAUUCCAUAAGGAUUGUCUUAAAAGGACUGUAAAGUUUCCACAGGGCAUCAUGGUGUGGGGUUGUAUGUCAGCUAAAGGGUUGGGAACGUUACACUUUAUUGAUGGCAUAGUAAAUGCAGAAAAAUAUCAAGACAUUCUCGAACAUUCGCUUUUACCAAGUGCAGCAAAUUUAUAUCCAUCUGGAGAUUUUAUCUUUCAACAGGACGGUGCCUCAUGUCAUACUGCUAAAUCUACCAAAAAAUGGAUGGGGGAACAUAAUAUGAAAGUUUUGUCACACCCCUCUAGCAACCCGGAUCUCAAUCCAAUCGAAACACUUUGGCACAAAAUGAAGCAACGCCUAAGAAAUAGUCCGCAGCGUACUUUGCCACAACUACGUGCUAAACUACAGGAAAUAUGGGAUAGUUUCACCCCUGAAUUUUGUGAAGGUCUAGUUGGUACAAUGCCUCAUAGAGUCCAGGCUGUUAUUCAAGCUAAGGGCGACGUUACGCCUUACUAAUUCGUAUUUUCCUUUUUUAAAACUCACUUGUUCCAAUAUUUAGUUGUCUUUGUUCAAUUAUUUUUCAAUAAUUUACCAAGUAAUUAAAUACUAAAUAACUUAAAAUAUAUAAAUAAAUUAUAAAAACAAUAUUAAACAUUAUAAAAAAGCUUGUUCAUUUCAUAUUUAUGAUUAAAAAAAAUUUAAUAAAAAAUUUUCGCUAAAUGGGUAUUUUAUUUUAAAAAAACCGCUUGUUCCAACAUAUAGUUGUUAGGGCUCGUAUAAUAAAGUGGCAUGUGAGGGCCCAAUUUUUUUAUUUAAAAAUUUUUUGAGGUUCAAGCAGCAGGGCCGCCAAAAAAUGUGAAUAUUUUUCUUUGUUUGUAUUUUUUCUUGUGUUCUUAAAACAAAAACUCUUUUUAUAAAAAUAUUCUUUCAAAAUAAGGGCAACUUGCUUACAAGCUGCUACUUUAUUAUUACAAACUUAAACUUGAGGCUGAACCCUGCAGCCCUCCUUCACAAGUUCCAGCUCUAUUUUUAAUUUAGACAGUGACCGCCUAAAGUUCCGCAUGUUAUAAAUACUGCCAAUUGUUUCUAUUUUCACGGUUGUACUUGUAAAGAAUCUCCGUUUUCGAAUGUCACUGUCAGUUCGAAAAUUAAUAGUUUUUAUCAGAAUAAAUUAUGGCUAAUUUAACGGAAACCCAACGAAUUGAAAUUUUAAUGAUGCUAGGGUACGGGGAUCGAGUGCGCACGCAAAAAGAAGUAAGUAAACUGUUUAAUGCCAAAUACCCAAACCAUCCUAUUUCUCAGUCAACAGUUAGUAGAAUAGAGCACAAAUUCAUAACUUCAGGUCAUAUUAGGGAUUUGCCAAGAUCAGGUCGUCCAAAAAUGUCUGACAAAACAAAAUUAAACGUUCUGCUCUCCGGCGAAGAAAAUCCAAAUAAUGCAACUUCACAAAUUUCAGAUGAUAAUGAUAUAGCCGGAACGUCAGUAAGACGCAUCUUAAAAGCAAAUGAAUACCACCAUGAAAUGAAAAUAUUAUAAACUGUAAAAACCCUUAUUAAUGUACCAAGUGUUCAAACUGAUCCCCAUUUACUUCUUGGCAGAAAGCAAGACGGUUUACAAACUCAUGUAAAACACUAUCAAUUAUUUCGGGUGAUAUACGUCUAAUUUCAUAUCUAAUUCUAUUUUUCAAAUCUUUUACGAUGUUUGGCUUCUCAAUAUAAACUUUACUUUUCAGGUACCCCCCAUAGAAAAUAGUCGCAGGGAUUUAGGUCUGGUGACCUGGCCGGCCACUCUAUUCGCCCUCUUCGUCCAUCUUCAAUUACCACAAAUUAUCUGUCGGGAGAGCAGGGUCUUGCUCGUCUGGGUAUAGGGCAGUCAAAGCAGGGAUAAGAUCUUAAAGAAAAUUCAAAUAGUGUUGUCCUGUUAAGUUUUCUUCGCAAGUAUGGCCUUAUUACUUUAUUUUCCACGAUACCAGCCCCUAAUAUUAAUUGAUUUACGGUACUGUGUAUGACCCUCAGUUGCCCAGUGUGGAUUUGACACUGACCAGUACCGACAAUUUUGCCGAUUUGCCGACGAAACCGUUUAAACAAAGAGAUGCUUCAUCCAAAAACAAAACUCGCAACACAAAUUGACGGUUAUUAUUGCAAAUGUUCAUCAUUUGCUUGCAAAAUUGGUUUCUUCGAUCAGGACCCUCCUCAUUUAAUUCGCGUAUUAGUCUAAUUUUAUAAGGGUGGUAUUCAUUUGCUUUUAAGAUGCGUCUUACUGACGUUCCGGCUAUAUUAUUAUCAACUGAAAUAUGUGAAGUUGCAUUAUUUGGAUUUUCUUCGCCGGAGAGCAGAACGUUUAAUUUUGUUUUGUCAGACAUUUCUGGACGACCUGAUCUUGGCAAAUCCCUAAUAUGACCUGAAGUUAUGAAUUUGUGCUCUAUUCUACUAACUGUGGACUGAGAAAUAGGAUGGUUUGGGUAUUUGGCAUUAAACAGUUCACUUACUUCUUUUUGCGUGCGCACUCGAUCCACGUACUCUAGUAUCAUCAAAAUUUCAAUUCGUUGGGUUUCCGUUAAAUUAGCCAUAAUUUAUUCUGAUAAAAACUAUUAAUUUUCGAACUGACAGUGACAUUCGAAAAUUGAGAUUCUUUACUAAGUUCAACCAUGGAAAUAGAAACAAUUGGCAGUAUUUAUAACAUUAUUUUUAUCCUCGAUUUUACCUUAAUUUGUAAAUAGACGUACUUAUUUGUUUUUUUGUUAUUUAAAUGUAAAUAUUUCGGAAACAGUUGAGUUUUGAGAUAAGGUGUGUUAUACAAAACUUGCUUGGAAUUUCGCCUAUAUUUCAUAAAUGCAAUAAAAAAUAUAGCAUUUCAUUUAAAAAAAUGA
rnacentral:lncRNA from 1 species